GAAUAAAAUUUAUUUAUUAAUAUUAUAUUUUUAUAAUAUAAAUUAUUAAAAAUAAUUAUAAAAUUAAUUGUUUUAGUAUUGUAUAAAGAAUAAAUAAAAUUAAUAAUAGUUAAUUAGUAUUGUGAAAGAAUAUUGAAAUAAGUUGAAAAAUUUUUAUAAUAAAAGAAAAUUUAAUUUAUUGUACCUUGUGUAUCAGGGUUUUUUAAAUAAAAAAUAAAUAUUUAUUUUUCUCGAUUUUAUAAGAGUUAAUAAAAUAUAAAAGUUAAUGUAAUAAAAUUAUUUUUCAUAUUUUAUUAGAAAUGAAAUGUUAUUCGUUUUUAAUGGUAUCUAGUUUUUUUAGAAAUAAAUUUAAUUUAGAAAUUUAAAAUUAUUAAGUUAUUUAUUAAUUUAAUAAAUUUAAAAUUUUAAUAUUUUAAGGGAUAAGCUUUAAAAUAAAUUAUUAAAAAUAAUAAAUAAUAUAUUAAAAAUGUAUGCUUAGAAUUAGCAAUCUUUAGUAAGUUUGUUAUAAUUUAUUUUAAUAAUUAAAUUAUUUAUUAAAUUUUAAUUUUUUAUAAAAAUAUUUUUAUAAAUAAUAAAUAGAAAUUAAUAAUGAAAAAAUUAGUAUAUUUUUAUGUUUAAAUAAAUAUAAGUGAUAAGUUUAAGUAAAGAAUUCGGCAAAAAUAAUGUUCGCCUGUUUAACAAAAACAUGUCUUUCUGUAAUAAAUAUAAAGUCUAACCUGCCCACUGAGUAUUUAAAUGGCCGCAGUAUAUUAACUGUGCAAAGGUAGCAUAAUCAUUAGUCUUUUAAUUGAAGGCUGGUAUGAAUGGUUGGACGAGAUAUUAACUGUUUCAUUUAAAUUUAUAAUAGAAUUUUAUUUUUUAGUUAAAAAGCUAAAAUUUAUUUAAAAGACGAGAAGACCCUAUAAAUCUUUAUAUUUUUUUUAUAUUAAUUAAUAAGAUACAUUUUAUUAUUAUAAUUAAAAAUAUUUUAUUGGGGUGAUAUUAAAAUUUAAAAAACUUUUAAUUUUUUAUAACAUUUAUUUAUGAAUAUUUGAUCCAUUAAUAGUGAUUAAAAAUUUAAGUUACUUUAGGGAUAACAGCGUAAUUUUUUUGGAGAGUUCUUAUCGAUAAAAAAGAUUGCGACCUCGAUGUUGGAUUAAGAUAUAGUUUUAGGUGUAGCCGUUUAAAUUUAAAGUCUGUUCGACUUUUAAAUUCUUACAUGAUCUGAGUUCAAACCGGCGUAAGCCAGGUUGGUUUCUAUCUUUAAAAUUUUAAAAUAUUUUAGUACGAAAGGACCAAAUAUUUAAAUAAUAAUAUUUUUAAUUAAGAAUUUAAUUAAUAUUAUAU
rnacentral:rRNA from 1 species